rnacentral:rRNA from 1 species
GCGCACGGGUGAGUAACACGUAUCCAACCUGCCGUCUACUCUUGGACAGCCUUCUGAAAGGAAGAUUAAUACAAGAUGGCAUCAUGAGUCCGCAUGUUCACAUGAUUAAAGGUAUUCCGGUAGACGAUGGGGAUGCGUUCCAUUAGAUAGUAGGCGGGGUAACGGCCCACCUAGUCUUCGAUGGAUAGGGGUUCUGAGAGGAAGGUCCCCCACAUUGGAACUGAGACACGGUCCAAACUCCUACGGGAGGCAGCAUG